rnacentral:sRNA from 1 species
AUAAGAAGAAGAAAAAAU